GGAAAUUAUGGAAACAGUGACUCAUCUCUUCAAUAAUUUACACAGGAUAACUUCUUGAAAAGCAAGAUCAGCAGGGGCUUUUUCUCCUGAUUGUAGAGGAUUUGCUUAUCUAUUUCUGGAUAUUCAGAAAACAAGAUACUCCAAACAGGAAUGGAAUGAUGUCACUGAGGGAAAAGGAAGGCAUUAUAACAUUGCUGAGGUCAAUUUAAGCAGACUAAGUGAUGAAUUGAGUGUGUAAGAAAAAGUUUAUCAGACAAAUACACAUAAACACAACUGAAACUCACUCCAAUUACCAGCCCAGCAAAGCAGCGCACUUCAAGCUGGUACUGUGCCCUCACACCAGGCUCAGUGUCAAGCACUUGGUCAGGGGCUCAGUACCUGCAAGUUCCAUCUGUUUGCCCCAACCUCGGCUUCUGCUACCAAGUAUCCUUAAGAUGGACACUGGCACAAGCUGCCCAACAGAUAGUAAAAGCCUUCCAGCAGUUUCAGAUAUCAUUCCCCAGUCACUUCUCAGUCUGUGGCUUGCAUCAAGGCUCAUUACAUUCAGAGUCUGCUUGCACUGCUAUGUUAGACAUGGCUUAUUAUGUUCAGGUCUUGUUUGCAAUGUCCUGUUGGCUAUGGCUCAUGUAUUCUAUCAGCCCUUAGUCAAGACAAAGCCAUAUGGUGCUACUAUGUACAAUGAAAGAUGUUUCCUAUGUAUCUCCACUCAAAGUAAGCAUUUAUUACUCUCAGGUUGUAGUUUCUAAAACUCUGGCAUAGUUUCACCUGUGGAUGGUCUAGUCCAUGAUGUAAGUUACAAGAACUAUUUGGGUUCCUCUAGUUCACAGAUGAAAACCCAUAGCUUUAAGGAGAAUAGAAAUUGCUUAUGAGCAAUAUGGAUGUGAUGCAAUU
rnacentral:lncRNA from 7 species